GAUGAACGCUGGCGGCAUGCCUAACACAUGCAAGUCGAGCGAACAGACCAGGAUUUUGCUCCUCUGACGUUAUCGCCCGUCGGGUCAUUCACUUUUCUAUAACCUACCUCUAAGACUGUGAUAAUUUUGGGGAACCCGAGCUUUUACCGGAUAAUAUAUUGAACCGUAUUGUUCACUCGUUAAAUACGGUUUUGCUUUCACUUAUAGAUUACUCCGCGCCGCAUUAGCUAGUUGUUUAGGUAACGGCUUAGCCAGGCAACGACGCGUAGCCGACCUGAGAGGGUGAUCGGACACACUGGAACUGAGAAACGGUACAGACUCCUAGGGGAGGAAGCAGUAGGGAAUCUUACGCAAUGGGCGAAAGCGUGACGGAGCAAAGCCGCGUGAGUGAUGAAGGAGUUAGGAUCGGAAAACUAUGUAAGUAGGAAAGAAGAAAAGUGUAAGUAACUAGGAACGUAUUGACGGUACCUAAUCAGAAAGCCACGGCUAACUACGUG
rnacentral:rRNA from 1 species